rnacentral:rRNA from 1 species
GAUGAACGCUGGCGGCGUGCCUAAUACAUGCAAGUCGAGCGAACAGACGAGGAGCUUGCUCCCCUGACGUUAGCGGCGGACGGGUGAGUAACACGUGGAUAACCUACCUAUAAGACUGGGAUAACUUCGGGAAACCGGAGCUAAUACCGGAUAAUAUAUUGAACCGCAUGGUUCAAUAGUGAAAGACGGUUUUGCCGUCACUUAUAGAUGGAUCCGCGCCGCAUUAGCUAGUUGGUAAGGUAACGGCUUACCAAGGCAACGAUGCGUAGCCGACCUGAGAGGGUGAUCGGCCACACUGGAACUGAGACACGGUCCAGACUCCUACGGGAGGCAGCAGUAGGGAAUCUUCCGCAAUGGGCGAAAGCCUGACGGAGCAACGCCGCGUGAGUGAUGAAGGUCUUCGGAUCGUAAAACUCUGUUAUUAGGGAAGAACAAAUGUGUAAGUAACUAUGCACGUCUUGACGGUACCUAAUCAGAAAGCCACGGCUAACUACGUG